GUUUGCCAUUGGUUUGCUACAGGGAGACAUUUCCAGUGAAGGGAAGCAAUCACUCUAGCUUUGCAUUUCGAUCAACACCCUGAUCCUUGCUUCAGUAGCUACAUGUAGACGGAUUUCAUGAAGGAGGUUGAGAAUAUCUACAAGAAUGUAGUCAGCAAACCACAAUGGGAUUGAGACGGACGGGCCUUACAGUGGGAAAGCAAACGAUUUGUGACUGAUUGUAAUAAAGGCAAGAUACAGUCGAUGUUUCAAUCAAAUACCCACAGAGGACCUUCUACAGUCACAAAUCGGUUACCCUCCUGGCAAAGCUGAGCGGAGAAGACGAGGAAAUGAGCAAGUUUUCAAAAUAUGUCUGCUACCAUGCUGCGCCCAAGGAAGAACAGGAGGCGAAAAAAGCUAAGUCUACACAGAUAAGAAGCCAUUGUUUGGUCCAUUUCAUUAAGGCAUUGUUAGACGUUAUUCAAUGGUAGUGCCUGCACCAGUGAAAUUAUUUAUCAGGGCCAUGGUGGUUCCGCAAUGAAUGCUAAACGUUCAUGUGCCGACAUUGUGUAUUGCCGAAGGUGUUAGGCGUGAUUGUUAAAAGUGUCCGCAUGAGUCAAAUUAUUUAUCAGGCAUAUGAUUGUAUAUUCAUCUCAUCAUCAUCUCAUUUGGUGGUUCUGCAACGAAGGCAUUAAAAUGUUCAUGAGCGAAGUUUAACGAAUUUUGAUGUACCUCAUUAAUAUUUAAGAGUUAUUGAUGAAGAGAGACCCUUAAGUUUAAGAUUCUGAUGUCCGCUUAAGUUUAUUCUACUAGAGGGUCUUUAAGUUGGUAAGAGGGGCUGGUUAAGUUAGGGUAAUUAAUUUUGUUUUGGAGAAUUAUUCAAGUUAGGGUAAUUAAUUUGGUUUUGGAGA